GCGUUGUCCGGAAUUAUUGGGCGUAAAGAGCUCGUAGGCGGUCUGUCACGUCGGCUGUGAAAACUUGGGGCUCAACCCCAAGCCUGCAGUCGAUACGGGCAGACUAGAGUGCGGUAGGGGAGACUGGAAUUCCUGGUGUAGCGGUGAAAUGCGCAGAUAUCAGGAGGAACACCGGUGGCGAAGGCAGGUCUCUGGGCCGCAACUGACGCUGAGGAGCGAAAGCAUG
rnacentral:rRNA from 1 species